AUUGAACGCUGGCGGCAGGCCUAACACAUGCAAGUCGAACGGUAGCACAGAGAGCUUGCUCUCGGGUGACGAGUGGCGGACGGGUGAGUAAUGUCUGGGAAACUGCCCGAUGGAGGGGGAUAACUACUGGAAACGGUAGCUAAUACCGCAUAACGUCUUCGGACCAAAGUGGGGGACCUUCGGGCCUCACACCAUCGGAUGUGCCCAGAUGGGAUUAGCUAGUAGGUGGGGUAAUGGCUCACCUAGGCGACGAUCCCUAGCUGGUCUGAGAGGAUGACCAGCCACACUGGAACUGAGACACGGUCCAGACUCCUACGGGAGGCAGCAGUGGGGAAUAUUGCACAAUGGGCGCAAGCCUGAUGCAGCCAUGCCGCGUGUAUGAAGAAGGCCUUCGGGUUGUAAAGUACUUUCAGCGGGGAGGAAGGCGGUGAAGUUAAUAGCUUCAUCGAUUGACGUUACCCGCAGAAGAAGCACCGGCUAACUCCGUGCCAGCAGCCGCGGUAA
rnacentral:rRNA from 1 species